rfam:Danio rerio chromosome 13, GRCz11 reference primary assembly.
UGCCACAGCCAUGUCACCCUGCAGCCCAAGACCGGUUACUCACUGAAGCUAAGCAGGGCUGAGCCUGGUCAGUACCUGAAUGGGAGACCACUAGGGAACACUAGGUUGCUGUUGGAA